CUGCCCGAUGAUUAUAAAAAGACGCGAAGAGGACUUAAGCUGGCGCUCUUCCUUUUUCUCUCUUUCCUAUACUUCUUUCUCUUUCUUUGACUGUCCAGCGUCCUAUGAGCGAAGAUUAUGAGAUAUGAGGGCAG
ensembl:snoRNA predicted gene, 23262